GUAGUUAGCCGGGGCUUUCUUACAGGGUACCGUCACUUCUUCGUCCCCUGCGACAGAGGUUUACAAUCCGAAAACCUUCUUCCCUCACGCGGCGUUGCUGGGUCAGGCUUGCGCCCAUUGCCCAAUAUUCCCCACUGCUGCCUCCCGUAGGAGUCUGGACCGUGUCUCAGUUCCAGUGUGGCCGAUCAGCCUCUCAGCUCGGCUACCCAUCGUCGGCUUGGUGGGCUGUUAUCUCACCAACUAUCUAAUCAGACGCGAGCUCAUCUUUCAGCGGAUUGCUCCUUUGGUAUCAAGAAGAUGCCAUCUCGAUACAUUAUGCGGUAUUAGCGACCGUUUCCAGUCGUUAUCCCCCUCUGAAAGGCAGAUUGCUCACGCGUUACUCACCCGUCCGCCACUAAGCACAAAACCGAAGUAAGUGUGCUCCGUUCGACUUGCAUGUGUUAGGCACGCCGCCAGCGUUCAUCCUGAGCCAGGAUCAAACUCUGA
rnacentral:rRNA from 1 species